rnacentral:rRNA from 1 species
ACGCUAGCGGCGGACGGGUGAGUAAUGCUUAGGAAUCUGCCUAUUAGUGGGGGACAACAUUCCGAAAGGAAUGCUAAUACCGCAUACGCCCUACGGGGGAAAGCAGGGGAUCUUCGGACCUUGCGCUAAUAGAUGAGCCUAAGUCAGAUUAGCUAGUUGGUGGGGUAAAGGCCUACCAAGGCGACGAUCUGUAGCGGGUCUGAGAGGAUGAUCCGCCACACUGGGACUGAGACACGGCCCAGACUCCUACGGGAGGCAGCAGUGGGGAAUAUUGGACAAUGGGCGNAAGCCUGAUCCAGCCAUGCCGCGUGUGUGAAGAAGGCCUUUUGGUUGUAAAGCACUUUAAGCGAGGAGGAGGCUACUUGGAUUAAUACUCUAGGAUAGUGGACGUUACUCGCAGAAUAAGCACCGGCUAACUCUGUGCCAGCAGCCGCGGUAAUACAGAGGGUGCGAGCGUUAAUCGGAUUUACUGGGCGUAAAGCGUGCGUAGGCGGCUUCUUAAGUCGGAUGUGAAAUCCCUGAGCUUAACUUAGGAAUUGCAUUCGAUACUGGGAAGCUAGAGUAUGGGAGAGGAUGGUAGAAUUCCAGGUGUAGCGGUGAAAUGCGUAGAGAUCUGGAGGAAUACCGAUGGCGAAGGCAGCCAUCUGGCCUAAUACUGACGCUGAGGUACGAAAGCAUGGGGAGCAAACAGGAUUAGAUACCCUGGUAGUCCAUGCCGUAAACGAUGUCUACUAGCCGUUGGGGCCUUUGA